AUAAUAAAUAUAUUUUAUCCGAUAUUCGCAUGUGCGCUAAUAUAAUCGCCUUACGAAGAUUCGCAACUCAAUUCACUAAUGUAUGAAUGCAAAGUCCUUUGCCUCUGUUCUGGGACAAUGGCAGAUAUUCGCCUAUGCGCUAAUAUAAUCGCCUUACAAAGAUUCGCACCUCAAUCACUUUCUCGGCAAUGAGUAAGAUCUGAGCUUUUGGGAAUCAAUCAAGAUACAGUGGGGGGUGAUGACAGUAGUUGACAGAGUACAGCUCAAUGUAAUCUGUACGGUGGAAACUAAAAUAAAAAAUAUGAAUAUUCGUAAAUCGAAUUUUUCGAAGUUCUAAAUAUUCGCGAAUAUGGUGCUAUACUAUAUGAAUGCAC